ensembl:snRNA U2 U2 spliceosomal RNA
UUGACUUCUUGGCCUUUUGGCUGCAAUCAAGUGUAUUAUUUGUUCUUAUCAAUUUAGUAUGUGAUAUGUCAUCUGUCCAAGGACAAAAGUAUUAAAUGGAUUUUGGAGCAGAAAAUGGAAUGGAGCAUGUCCUUUCCACUCAUCAGUCUGGCAGGGUGAUUUCUUCUGAAAUGGGACACACCCU